UACGUAGGGUGCAAGCGUUGUCCGGAAUUAUUGGGCGUAAAGAGCUCGUAGGCGGUCUGUCGCGUCUGCUGUGAAAACUCAGGGCUUAACCCUGAGCUUGCAGUGGGUACGGGCAGACUAGAGUGCGGUAGGGGAGACUGGAAUUCCUGGUGUAGCGGUGAAAUGCGCAGAUAUCAGGAGGAACACCGGUGGCGAAGGCGGGUCUCUGGGCCGUAACUGACGCUGGAGGAAGCGAAAGCAUCGGGGAGCGAACAGG
rnacentral:rRNA from 1 species